rnacentral:rRNA from 1 species
GAUGAACGCUAGCGGGAGGCCUAACACAUGCAAGCCGAGCGGUAGAGUUUCUUCGGAAACUUGAGAGCGGCGCACGGGUGCGUAGCACGUGUGCAACCUACCUUUAUCUGGGGGAUAGCCUUUCGAAAGGAAGAUUAAUACCCCAUAAUAUAAUGAUUGGCAUCAAUUAUUAUUGAAAACUCCGGUGGAUAGAGAUGGGCACGCGCAAGAUUAGAUAGUUGGUGAGGUAACGGCUCACCAAGUCAAUGAUCUUUAGGGGUCCUGAGAGGGAGAUCCCCCACACUGGUACUGAGACACGGACCAGACUCCUACGGGAGGCAGCAGUGAGGAAUAUUGGACAAUGGGUGAGAGCCUGAUCCAGCCAUCCCGCGUGAAGGAUGACGGUCCUAUGGAUUGUAAACUUCUUUUGUACAGGGAUAAACCUACCCUCGUGAGGGUAGCUGAAGGUACUGUACGAAUAAGCACCGGCUAACUCCGUG